UGAGAUGGCUUAUAUCAGCUGCUUCCCACAUUUUUUCUUCUGAGACAUGUGUGACAGAUGAUGCUUUCAGGUAGACACAUUCUCAUAUAUAGUUCCUGCCAUAACUUCACCCUUUCUCUCCCACUGGAAAGUAUUUGAUGCUAUGCAGCCAUUUAGAAGGAUCACAACACAUCAGUGCCUCCCACUGGAUUAGAUGCUAAGAAGAGUGCUGAGAUUCAAACUCAGGACUUCUGACUCCAAGUCCAUGGCUUUUUACACUAAGUCAUUGCCCAGUGUGGUUGCUUCGAGGGCUGCACCUUCACAAGCCCAACACACCCCAGGCCAUCUCCCAGGCUCAACAAGCCAUGACAGUAAUGUCACAAUUGCCGGAGCAGAAAAGUCAUAACUGUGGAAUUAACACUCCAACCAGUCUUUAGCCAACCACAUUCUAUAUUGUUUCAUCCACUUUCUUUUUUCUUAUUGAGGUAAAGUGCACAAAUAUUAAACGUUCA